UAUGACUUCAGCAAAUGUCUUUGAUUACAUUUGAACAUUCCUCUGUUACUUGUCUGCUGGUUAAAAUCUUGAUAUACAUAACUUGGCUGAGCAUCAGACCUUCCUCAUUUCUUCCUGGAGAAGAGCAGUCUUUCAGUACCAGCUGCAGUCCUACAGGUGGUAAAUCUUCUCUAUUUUCAGAGCAUCCCUGGGAAGAACCCUGGAGUGAAGGAGGAGAAGCACAGGGGGUGGUGUGGCGCUGAACAGAGCCUGGAAAUGCUAUAUCUCUCAAAAUGCUGCACUCCAGGGAGCCCUGAAAGCUGCUGCAACCUAUCUCAGAAAAUGCUAUGUCAGAAAGAAAAAUAGAUUUUUUUCCUAAACUUCCUUGAAUUCUAAAGACAACAUUUAAGGCAAUCCUAAGAAGUAGCCACAGAAUGUGACUUUUUUCCCUUUUUUUUUUUUUUUUUUUUUUAAGUGCUUGUCUGAAAAUACUGCCUGAUAUGCCUGGAGAGAACCUUGGAGUACCAAAGGAAAUACUUGUGUCAUUGGCUUACUAAAUGAAUAGUAACUCUAUGGAUGUCAGAAUGAUUCAGGGAAAGGAUGCAUUGCAAGGAAAUGCUCAGUUGGAUUGUUUUCGCUUCCUUCUUUCUUUGACAGUUUUGUCUUUCCAUGGGCUGCCCUUCUGUCAGAUGUGUCUCCUUUCUGCUGGAGAACUUGGUGUCAAAUCAAACUGUACUGGGACAAAAAUAAGCCAAUUGAGUGAGUAAACAGUUGCCUGGAAAGACCAGGUACCAUCAAACAAAUAUGUUUAAAAUUGACACAAGAUGCUGUUUUCCUGCUCUGAUAGACUCAUACCCAUGCUUUAAUUGUAUCCAAACAACCAUCUGCUAUGAAAAGCAGUGCACUUGCUUUGCUGAUGUAAUCCUUAUCGGAGACUGGGAAAGCCUUGUUCUGCUUUGGGAAGCCAAGAUGCUAGGAACAUUUAUUUCAUUCAUAGUAAUGCACUUCUAAAACAUACCUUUAGGCAAACAUUUGUGCAUUUUAGUACAAAUAUUCAUCGAGGACACAUAUUCUUGGUUGUUUGCCCACAUAGAUAUGAAUAGCAUUUGAUACAUACUCAUUCUUAGUAACUCUCAAGGUUUUCUGCCUUUUCCCUUUGUCACUGAUGAAAGCAGAUAUUUGUCAGUAAAUAUUGUGUUUGGGCACACCAACAUUUCAAGAUACUGCCUGAAAAUGUGUGUUGAAGGUGUAAAGAAUUGAGGAGAAACAAGAGAAAGAAAAAUGAAAGAAGCCUUUCCUCGAUGAAUAAAAUGGGUUUUUCUGUUUUUGUAACUCAAAACAUGCGUAGGUGAAUGAAUUCUACACAAAUUCAGCUUCAGGCAGAGCCUGGGAAAAGGUGGUGAAAGUACUGGAAAAGUGUGCUCUGUAAUGAAGUCUCCUAGAUUUUAACAUUGGUGAAUUUGCAUAUAAUUAAAAGGUAAUGGAACAUGAUAUUUCCUUUAGUUCCCAUCUAAGCUAAAACAGUAGAAAGUGUAAUUUAUUAAAAAGAGCAUAAGCAGCAUUUUCCCUUCCUUUAAUCAGACCUAUGACAAUCAGAAAAAUCAAAAGUAAAUCUAAACCACAUGUGUAUAAUUCAAAACAUAAACAGAUUCUUUAGCUUAUAUACAUACUGUGAGAAAAUAGUUGGGUAAAUAGCAUCAUUGUGCUCCUGGGAAACAAUGGCAGAGACAUUGUAUGGCUGAAUUUUCAGAGACUGAAAUUUCUUUACAGAGCAACCUAUAAAAAUUUAUUGUCUAAAUCUUGCUGUAAAAUCUAUCAUGUUAUGGGCAUUUUGAUCAUACUGAAUUAAUCCUUCUCUCUCUUCUCUCUCUCUCUCUUUUUUUUUUUAAUGGGUACUUCAACAG
ensembl:lncRNA